rnacentral:rRNA from 1 species
UACAGAGGGUGCAAGCGUUAAUCGGAAUUACUGGGCGUAAAGCGUGCGUAGACGGUUAUGUAAGUCAGAUGUGAAAGCCCCGGGCUUAACCUGGGAAUGGCAUUUGAGACUGCAUAGCUGGGGUGCGGAAGAGGGAAGCGGAAUUUCCGGUGUAGCGGUGAAAUGCGUAGAUAUCGGAAGGAACACCAGUGGCGAAAGCGGCUUCCUGGUCCAGCACCGACGUUCAGGCACGAAAGCGUGGGGAGCAAACAGG